rnacentral:ncRNA from 2 species
CUCUUAUCAAGAGUGGCAGAGGGACUGGCCCGAUGACGCCCAGCAACCGUUCUAUUUAAUUAGAAUUGGUGCUAAUUCCUGCAAAACAUUUUGUUGUUUUGAAAGAUAAGAG